rnacentral:misc_RNA from 1 species
GAUGAAGAACGCAGCGAAAUGCGAUACGUAAUGUGAAUUGCAGAAUUCAGUGAAUCAUCGAGUCUUUGAACGCACAUUGCGCCCCCUGGUAUUCCGGGGGGCAUGCCUGUCCGAGCGUCAUUGCUGCCCUCAAGCACGGCUUGUGUGUUGGGCCUCCGUCCUCCUCCCGGGGGACGGGCCCGAAAGGCAGCGGCGGCACCGCGUCCGGUCCACGAGCGUAUGGGGCUUCGUCACCCGCUCUUGUAGGCCCGGCCGGCGCUUGCCGACACAUCAAUCUUUUUUCCAGGUUGACCUCGGAUCAGGUAGGGAUACCCGCUGAACUUAAGCAUAUCAAUAAGCGGAGGA